AUGGAUUCUUCUGGCCGACUGCUUUGGAUGAUGCCAAGGACUUGGUCAAGAAGUGCAAAGGGUGCCAAAAAUUCGGCUCCAAGCAACAUCUGCCGGCUUCUGCACUCAAGACCCUCCCCCCUCACUUGGCCAUUUGCAGUCCGGGGACUGGACAUGGUGGGCCCAUUCAAGACAGCACGCAGCGGCAUGACCCAUCUGGUGGUCGCCGUGGACAAGUUCACCAAGUGGAUUGAAGCGAAGCCAAUCAAGAAGCUGAAUGGUCCGACUGUUGUGACAUUCAUCGCAGAUAUCACCGUCCGGUACGGUGUACCGCAGAACAUCAUCACCGACAAUAGCACCAACUUUGCGAAAGGCGCCUUGGCCCGUUUCUGCGCGACGCAGGGCAUCCGAUUGGACAUAGCGUCCGUUGCCUAUUCGCAGUCCAACGGCCAAGUCGAGCGAGCAAACGGCCUCAUCUUGUCUGGCAUCAAGCCCCGACUGAUCGAGCCGCUGGAGCGUUCGGCCGGCUGCUGGAUUGACGAGCUGCUGGCCGUCCUCUGGAGUCUCCGGACCACGCCGAACAAAUCAACCGGCUUCACUCCCUUCUUCCUCGUGUACGGGGCCGAGGCUGUCAUCCCAACUGACAUCGAGUUUGACUCACCUCGCGUUACCAUGUACACUGAGGCGGAAGCAAAGGAGGCACGAGAAGACAGCGUCGACCUGCUAGAAGAGAGCCGGCUGUUAGCACUCAGCCGGUCUGCCAUCUACUAG
rnacentral:rRNA from 1 species